rfam:Gossypium hirsutum cultivar TM-1 unplaced genomic scaffold scaffold280.1, whole genome shotgun sequence
UGCUAAAAAUUUCACCCAAUUAUAUUGUUAAAAAUUAGUGUGACUAACGAAAUUACUGGAUAGUAACACGUGGUGUGCCAUGUACCUCAUGCUAAUGUACAUGGAUAAAUUUUACCAGUAAAAAUGGAUGAAAUUUAUAAUA